rnacentral:rRNA from 1 species
UACAUGAGUGGUGAGCGUUGCCUUUAUUUGUUAGGUGUAAAAAAUCUUACGAAAUAACCGUUAUUGUAAAUAUUAGUUUAUUUUGGUUAAUUAUAUAUACUAUAGAAUGCCAUCGGGUUAACUAUUAGGGGUAAAAUCUUUUUAAUAGCGACAUGUCGAGUCCAAAGACUGAUGUAAUGGUACAUUUAGUAUUUAUUUUUUCGAAGAUGAAAGUAUAGGGGUUGGCGAGGAUUAGAGACCCUCUUAAACUAUACCGUGAAUUAUGAUAAGAUGUUUUUAACAUGGCUAACGUAUGACUUAUCUACCGGGGGACUAAAAUCGCAAGAUUUAAACUUAAAAAAAUUGGCGGGACUUAAAAAACGGUGGAACAUGUGAUUUAAUGCGGUAAUCCCCGCAAAAUCUUACUAGCACAUUUUAAUUUUUUUUAUAAUAUAGUUAUAUUUAUAUAAUUAAAUUUAUUUAGGUAUCGCAUGGCUGUCGUCAGUUCGUGCCUUAAGGUGUAGCAUUUAGUUGUCAAAACGAACGUAACCUAUAAAUUUUUGAGAAAAAAUUUAACAGAUGAAGUCAAGUCUUUAUGGUCUAAUUGUGCUAGGCCACACAUGUGUUACAAUAAAGAAAACAAUUUAAUACAUUAUAGCGAUAUAAUGUUAUUUUAUAAAUAUCUUUAAGUACAGAUUAUACACUGUAAGUCGUGUAUAUGAAGUCGAAAUCGUCAGUAAUCGUUUUUAAGAAAGAUACGGUGAAGUUAAAUUAAAGUUUGCACACACCGCCCAUCACGCUCGGAGAAUUGGAUGGACUUAAAUAAUUGAAAAUAAUUUUUUAUAUUGUAAAUUUUUUUUUUUUUAUUAAUGAAAUCUGUCGAGUAAUCGGAGUGAAG